rnacentral:rRNA from 1 species
GACGAACGCUGGCGGCGUGCUUAACACAUGCAAGUCGAACGGAAAGGCCCUGCUUUUGUGGGGUGCUCGAGUGGCGAACGGGUGAGUAACACGUGAGUAACCUGCCCUUGACUUUGGGAUAACUUCAGGAAACUGGGGCUAAUACCGGAUAGGAGCUCCUGCUGCAUGGUGGGGGUUGGAAAGUUUCGGCGGUUGGGGAUGGACUCGCGGCUUAUCAGCUUGUUGGUGGGGUAGUGGCUUACCAAGGCUUUGACGGGUAGCCGGCCUGAGAGGGUGACCGGCCACAUUGGGACUGAGAUACGGCCCAGACUCCUACGGGAGGCAGCAGUGGGGAAUAUUGCACAAUGGGCGGAAGCGUGAUACAGCAACGCCGCGUGCGGGAUGACGGCCUUCGGGUUGUAAACCGCUUUCGCCUGUGACGAAGCGUGAGUGACGGUAAUGGGUAAAGAAGCACCGGCUAACUACGUG